GUUUUGUACAGCUCUUGUGGCUGGCUGCCAGUUCUGGCUGGGCGUGUUCCUGGAGAUCAUAUCUUAUCGUAUGUGCCUGCGUUUUGCUCUCAGCGAGUGUCCGGAAUUCGAUCGACAAUCCCACAAAUUCCAGGACAAAACUGAACUCAGCCUGUUGGAGCUUAGCAUCUGUUGUAAUGCUGUGCAUCAACUUACACAUUCCAGAAAAUGAUGUGUGUGGUGCUGCAAGGUCAGUGUUUGUCAUCCAUUCCUUAUUCUCCUCGUCCUAUGAAAUCUGCCAUCAUGUGUCAAAAGACUCUUUUUAACUAACCGGAGGCUCCAAUCUGACACUGACCUCAGAUUUAAUGCUAAUAUAUCAGUGAUAGCACCAUCGCUGGCAUUUUGUGUUGCUUCUGACCCAAUGGAAGGAAGGUGAUGCAAUCAAAAAUGAUUGAAUGGGGGACUCUACGCAGUGGAACUCCUGCAAUGAUCCUAGGAUUGUGAUGAUUGACUUCCAACAACCACAACCAUUUUCCUUUAUGUUUGGCAUGACUGCAAUUAGUGGAGAGUUCUCUGACACCUCCUUCCACCAAUUCCCAUUGACUUCAACUUUAUGAGGUUGUGAGGAAAGUGUCAAGGAGGUAUGGAAGAAAAAGGAAACCCUUUUUAAAAGAUCUUUUAGUACCUGUACACCACCUUUCCACCAAAGGUGAAGUCAGUCCCUUCAGUUGUACCAUUUGUUGGAAUACCAGGUACCCCACAGGAGCGUGCUAGGAAGAGAAAAGUCACAUUACCAUAAAUAAAUGACGAUAUAAAAUGAUAAAGCUAAAACUCGAGUGUGUGAUAUGGAUACAACUGUGCUCACAGCAGAAAAACAA